CCUACGGGUGGCAGCAGUGGGGGAUAUUGCACAAUGGGCGAAAGCCUGAUGCAGCGACGCCGCGUGAGGGAAGACGGUCUUCGGAUUGUAAACCUCUGUCUUUGGGGAAGAAUAGAGACGGUACCCAACGAGGAAGCUCCGGCUAACUACGUGCCAGCAGCCGCGGUAAUACGUAGGGGGCGAGCGUUGUCCGGAAUUACUGGGUGUAAAGGGAGCGUAGGCGGGCGUGUAAGUUGAAUGUCUAAUCCACCGGCUCAACCGGUGAUCGCUUUCAAAACUGCAGUUCGUGAGUGAAGUCGAGGCAGGUGGAAUUCCUGGUGUAGCGGUGAAAUGCGUAGAUAUUAGGAGGAACACCAGUGGCGAAGGCGGCCUGCUGGGCUUUAACUGACGCUGAUGCUCGAAAGCGUGGGGAGCAAACAGGAUUAGAUACCCUAGUAGUC
rnacentral:rRNA from 1 species